rnacentral:rRNA from 1 species
AUUGAACGCUGGCGGCAUGCCUUACACAUGCAAGUCGAACGGUAGGGGGAGCAAUCCCCUGAGAGUGGCGAACGGGUGAGUAAAGCAUCGGAACGUGCCCAGUUGUGGGGGAUAACUACUCGAAAGAGUGGCUAAUACCGCAUACGACCUGAGGGUGAAAGCGGGGGACCGAAAGGCCUCGCGCAGUUGGAGCGGCCGAUGUCAGAUUAGCUAGUUGGGGGGGUAAAGGUCCACCAAGGCGACGAUCUGUAGCUGGUCUGAGAGGACGACCGGCCACACUGGGACUGAGAGACGGCCCAGACUCCUACGGGAGGCAGCAGUGGGGAAUUUUGGACAAUGGGCGCAAGCCUGAUCCAGCCAUGCCGCGUGCAGGAAGAAGGCCUUCGGGUUGUAAACUGCUUUCGUCAGGGAAGAAAUCCCUUGGGUUAAUACCUCGGGGGGAUGACGGUACCUGAAGAAUAAGCACCGGCUAACUACGUGCCAGCAGCCGCCGCUG